UACGGACGGGGCAAGCGUUGUUCGGAAUCAUUGGGCGUAAAGGGCGUGUAGGUGGUUCUGUAUGUCUACCGUGAAAGCGUACGGCUCAACCGUAUUUAGUCGGUAGAAACUGCAGGACUUGAGGCUGGGAGGGGCUGGUGGAAUUCCCCGUGUAGCGGUGAAAUGCGUAGAGAUGGGGGAGAACACUCGUGGCGAAGGCGGCCAGCUAGACCAGUUCUGACACUGAGGCGCGAUAGCGUGGGGAGCAAACAGG
rnacentral:rRNA from 1 species